rnacentral:rRNA from 1 species
CGAACGCUGGCGGCGUGCCUAACACAUGCAAGUCGCACGAGAAAGUGGACCUUGGUCCAUGAGUAGAGUGGCAGACGGGUGAGUAACACGUGGGUAACCUGCCCCUGAGUGGGGAAUAACCCAGGGAAACUUGGGCUAAUACCGCAUGCAUCAUUUCCUCCCUGGAGGAGAUGAGUUAAAGGUGGGGAUCGCAAGACCUACCGCUCAGGGAGGGGCCCGCGCCUGAUUAGCUUGUUGGUGGGGUAAAGGCCUACCAAGGCUUCGAUCAGUAGCCGGCCUGAGAGGGUGAUCGGCCACACUGGAACUGAGACACGGUCCAGACUCCUACGGGAGGCAGCAGUGAGGAAUCUUGCGCAAUGGGCGAAAGCCUGACGGAGCAACGCCGCGUGAAUGACGAAGGCCUUCGGGUCGUAAAAUUCUGUCUUUAGGGAAGAAGUCUCUUGGUGUGAAUAAUGCUAAGAGGUGACGGUACCUAAGGAGGAAGCUCCGGCUAACUACGUG